UGGCCUGUGGUGUAAUGGUAACACAGAGGUUUUUGGUGCCUUUAUUGAGGGUUCGAGUCCUUCCGGGCCAACUA
rnacentral:tRNA from 1 species